rnacentral:rRNA from 1 species
AUUGAACGCUGGCGGCAUGCUUUACACAUGCAAGUCGAACGGUAACAGGGAGCUUGCUCCGCUGACGAGUGGCGAACGGGUGAGUAAUAUAUCGGAACGUACCCAAGAGUGGGGGAUAACGUAGCGAAAGUUACGCUAAUACCGCAUACGAUCUAUGGAUGAAAGCAGGGGACCUUCGGGCCUUGUGCUCCUGGAGCGGCCGAUAUCUGAUUAGCUAGUUGGUGAGGUAAAGGCUCACCAAGGCGACGAUCAGUAGCUGGUCUGAGAGGACGACCAGCCACACGGGAAGUGAGACACGGUCCAGACUCCUACGGGAGGCAGCAGUGGGGAAUUUUGGACAAUGGGCGCAAGCCUGAUCCAGCAAUGCCGCGUGAGUGAAGAAGGCCUUCGGGUUGUAAAGCUCUUUUGUCAGGGAAGAAACGGCUGUGGCUAAUAUCCACGGCUAAUGACGGUACCUGAAGAAUAAGCACCGGCUAACUACGUGCCAGCCGCCGCGGUAA